rnacentral:rRNA from 1 species
ACGGGGGGCCUACGGGAGGCAGCAGUGGGGAAUUUUGGACAAUGGGCGAAAGCCUGAUCCAGCAAUGCCGCGUGCAGGAUGAAGGCCUUCGGGUUGUAAACUGCUUUUGUACGGAACGAAAAAGCUCCUUCUAAUACAGGGGGCCCAUGACGGUACCGUAAGAAUAAGCACCGGCUAACUACGUGCCAGCAGCCGCGGUAAUACGUAGGGUGCGAGCGUUAAUCGGAAUUACUGGGCGUAAAGCGUGCGCAGGCGGUUAUGUAAGACAGAUGUGAAAUCCCCGGGCUCAACCUGGGAACUGCAUUUGUGACUGCAUGGCUAGAGUACGGUAGAGGGGGAUGGAAUUCCGCGUGUAGCAGUGAAAUGCGUAGAUAUGCGGAGGAACACCGAUGGCGAAGGCAAUCCCCUGGACCUGUACUGACGCUCAUGCACGAAAGCGUGUGGAGCAAACAGGAUUAGAUACCCUGGUAGUCCACGCCCUAAACGAUGUCAACUGGUUGUUGGGAAUUAGUUUUCUCAGUAACGAAGCUAACGCGUGAAGUUGACCGCCUGGGGAGUACGGCCGCAAGGUUGAAACUCAAAGGAAUUGACGG